ACUCCUACGGGAGGCAGCAGUGGGGAAUAUUGCACAAUGGGGGAAACCCUGAUGCAGCCAUGCCGCGUGUGUGAAGAAGGCCUUCGGUUGUAAAGCACUUUCAGUAGGGAGGAAGGUAGUGUAGUUAACACCUGCAUUAUUUGACGUUACCUACAGAAGAAGCACCGGCUAACUCCGUGCCAGCAGCCGCGGUAAUACGGAGGGUGCGAGCGUUAAUCGGAAUUACUGGGCGUAAAGCGCAUGCAGGCGGCCUGUUAAGUCAGAUGUGAAAGCCCGGGGCUUAACCUCGGAAUUGCAUUUGAAACUGGCAGGCUAGAGUCUUGUAGAGGGGGUAGAAUUUCAGGUGUAGCGGUGAAAUGCGUAGAGAUCUGAAGGAAUACCAGUGGCGAAGGCGGCCCCCUGGACAAAGACUGACGCUCAGAUGCGAAAGCGUGGGGAGCAAACAGGAUUAGAUACCCUGGUAGACUGUCA
rnacentral:rRNA from 1 species